AUCAAUUUGAACAUGAUGGUAGUUCCCUGACCGUUCGGGUCGGUCAUUACAGGUAGCCGGUUCAUAGCCGGUUGUUGGGC
rnacentral:tRNA from 1 species